rnacentral:rRNA from 1 species
CCUACGGGAGGCAGCAGUGAGGAAUAUUGGUCAAUGGGCGAGAGCCUGAACCAGCCAAGUAGCGUGCAGGAUGACGGCCCUAUGGGUUGUAAACUGCUUUUAUGCGGGGAUAAAGUGGGGGACGUGUCCCUUAUAGUAGGUACCGCAUGAAUAAGGACCGGCCAAUUCCGUGCCAGCAGCCGCGGUAAU